rnacentral:rRNA from 1 species
AUUGAACGCUGGCGGCAUGCCUUACACAUGCAAGUCGAACGGUAACAGGUCUUCGGAUGCUGACGAGUGGCGAACGGGUGAGUAAUACAUCGGAACGUGCCCGAUCGUGGGGGAUAACGGAGCGAAAGCUUUGCUAAUACCGCAUACGAUCUACGGAUGAAAGCAGGGGACCGCAAGGCCUUGCGCGGACGGAGCGGCCGAUGGCAGAUUAGGUAGUUGGUGGGAUAAAAGCUUACCAAGCCGACGAUCUGUAGCUGGUCUGAGAGGACGACCAGCCACACUCGGACUGAGACACGGCCCAGACUCCUACGGGAGGCAGCAGUGGGGAAUUUUGGACAAUGGGCGAAAGCCUGAUCCAGCCAUGCCGCGUGCAGGAUGAAGGCCUUCGGGUUGUAAACUGCUUUUGUACGGAACGAAAAGCCUCUUUCUAAUAAAGAGAGUUCAUGACGGUACCGUAAGAAUAAGCACCGGCUAACUACGUGCCAGCAGCCGCAGUAAUAC